rnacentral:misc_RNA from 1 species
UGUGGAGCUUCAGCUGGAAAACUUUUUUUGGUACUGAUGUUUCUCUCCUCGAGACGGCUGGAGAGCGUGCAGAGUAUGGAUUUCUCUCCCUCAAAACUCCUCCAAAUUGCUGUCAAAAGAUAAAAAGAGAGAGUGAGCCAGCCCUCAGCAACAGCAGCCCGACGACCCUUCUUCUGAUGUUUUCUUUUCUAUUUAUAUUGGUUGCUCUAGG